AUACGUAGGGGGCGAGCGUUGUCCGGAAUUAUUGGGCGUAAAGGGCGCGUAGGCGGUGACACAAGUCAGGUGAUAAAGGCACGGGCUCAACCGGUGUUAGGCACUUGAUACUGUGUUGCUAGAGUGCAGGAGAGGGGAGUGGAAUUCCAGGUGUAGCGGUGAAAUGCGUAGAUAUCUGGAAGAACACCAGUGGCGAAGGCGGCUCUCUGGACUGCAACUGACGCUGAGGCACGAAAGCUGGGGGAGCAAACAGGAUUAGAUACCCUGGUAGUCCCAGCCGUAAACGAUGAACACUAGGUGCAGGGGGUAUCGACCCCCCCGGUGCCGGAGCUAACGCAAUAAGUGUUCCGCCUGGGGAGUACGGCCGCAAGGUUGAA
rnacentral:rRNA from 1 species